rnacentral:rRNA from 1 species
GACGAACGCUGGCGGCGUGCUUAACACAUGCAAGUCGAACGAUGAAGAAGAGCUUGCUCUUCGGAUUAGUGGCGAACGGGUGAGUAACACGUGACUAACCUGCCCCUUUCUCUGGGAUAACGCUCCGAAAGGAGUGCUAAUACCGGAUACUCACAUCGAGGCACAUGCCUUGAUGUGGAAAGUUUUUCGGAAAGGGAUGGAGUCGCGGCCUAUCAGCUUGUUGGUGAGGUAACGGCUCACCAAGGCGACGACGGGUAGCCGGCCUGAGAGGGCGACCGGCCACACUGGGACUGAGACACGGCCCAGACUCCUACGGGAGGCAGCAGUGGGGAAUAUUGCACAAUGGGCGAAAGCCUGAUGCAGCGACGCCGCGUGAGGGAUGAAGGUCUUCGGAUUGUAAACCUCUUUCAGUAGGGACGAAGCGAAAGUGACGGUACCUAAAGAAGAAGCCCCGGCUAACUACGUGCCAGCAGCCGCCGCAG